rnacentral:lncRNA from 1 species
GCAAAAUUAUUUGAACAGUCUCUGCAGAGGGGAGGAUCCCUUGCUCUGGACUGCCGGGAAGGUCGUUAGUAAUUUUAUUUCACUUUGACAAUGAAGGAUUCUGCUCCAUUUUUCAAAGUCUUGCUCAGAAUUUCCUCCCUGGCUCCUCCUCCCUACAUCCCUGCUGAGGGGCCGCCCGGCCAGCAGGAAGUGCUUCCUGUGCUGGGUAAAAGCUAUCGGAUGACAGGCCGAACCCCUUCCAAGGCAACAUCGGAAAGCUGAGCCUCCCGGUCCUUCCUCUCAGGGUUAAUGGGAUGGGUACCCAGCUCUGGUUAGUGUUUUUCUUCUGCCCAAGAAACAUAAAGGUGAGUUGAGAUGAAGACAGGCGAUUCUGGAGCAAAAUCCCCAUUUUGUCCUUGGGGCUGAUUGUUUCGGGGGUUUGAAACGUUGAAAAACAAUACUGAAUAAUCCAUCCCCAAGAGGAAAACCGGUUUUAUUAUUUAUUUAUUUAUUUAUUUUUGUUUCCCUCCCCAUGAAGUGUUUGAAAGAGUUGCUGGAAAAACCAACGAAGCCGGUUUUCUUUUUCAUGCCUUCUUCCGGGCAGCUCAGGAGCCUGCUCUCAUGAACUUGCCCUCUGGCUCUGGUCUCGCUCACACAAUUGAAAAUCUUUAUGGAAUCUCUGCUCUGUGCCUCUGAAACUUUUUUUAAAAAUCAGAACUCAAUGUGCUUCGAGCCAGCCGGCCGCCCCCCUCUGCCCGGGGGCAGGGCCGUGUUGGUUUUGCCCAGCACCUGGAGGAUCCUGGCACUUGGUAGGUGCUUUGUGAAUGCUGACAGAAGGAAUAAACGCUGCUUCCUGC